rnacentral:rRNA from 1 species
GAUGAACGCUGGCGGCGUGCCUAAUACAUGCAAGUCGAACGAAACUUCUUUAUCACCUAGUGCUUGCACUCACCGAUAAAGAGUUGAGUGGCGAACGGGUGAGUAACUCGUUGUCAACCUGCCCAAAAGAGGGGGAUAACACUCGGAAACAGGUGCUAAUACCGCAUAACCAUAGUUACCGCAUGGUAACUAUGUAAAAGGUAGCUAUACUACCGCUUUUGGAUGGGCCCGCGGCGCAUUAGCUAGUUGGUAGGGUAAAGGCUUACCAAGGCAAUGAUGCGUAGCCGAAUUGAGAGGUUGAUCGGCCACAUUGGAACUGAGACACGGCCCAAACUCCUACGGGAGGCAGCAGUAGGGAAUCUUCCACAAUGGGCGAAAGCCUGAUGGAGCAACGCCGCGUGGGUGAAGAAGGUCUUCGGAUCGUAAAGCCCUGUUGUUAGAGAAGAAAGUGCGUGAGAGUAACUGUUCACGUUUCGACGGUAUCUAAACAGAAAGCCACGGCUAACUACGUG